rnacentral:rRNA from 1 species
GAUGAACGCUGGCGGCGUGCCUAAUACAUGCAAGUCGAGCGAACAGAUGAGGAGCUUGCUCCUCUGACGUUAGCGGCGGACGGGUGAGUAACACGUGGAUAACCUACCUAUAAGACUGGGAUAACUUCGGGAAACCGGAGCUAAUACCGGAUAAUAUAUUGAACCGCAUGGUUCAAUAGUGAAAGACGGUUUUGCUGUCACUUAUAGAUGGAUCCGCGCCGCAUUAGCUAGUUGGUAAGGUAACGGCUUACCAAGGCAACGAUGCGUAGCCGACCUGAGAGGGUGAUCGGCCACACUGGAACUGAGACACGGUCCAGACUCCUACGGGAGGCAGCAGUAGGGAAUCUUCCGCAAAGGGCGAAAGCCUGACGGAGCAAAGCCGCGUGAGUGAUGAAGGUCUUCGGAUCGUAAAACUCUGUUAUUAGGGAAGAACAAAUGUGUAAGUAACUAUGCACGUCUUGACGGUACCUAAUCAGAAAGCCACGGCUAACUACGUG